UAGAAGCACAAUGGAAGGCUGCUGGAGUCAGCUGUCAGUCUCCUCUGCGCUUUCGUCGAGUUCUUGCAAGCAGCAUGUGAGCGUGCUGACAAGAUCGUUUCUUGGAGGAGCCGCCUGGCGCGCGACGCGUCAGCGAUUGCAGGAUCCUUGUAAAGCUAGGAAUAUCACCAAACUCACCGUACAUGGGUUGAGAGAUGGUGCA
rnacentral:lncRNA from 1 species